GUGAGGCUGCUGGGAGGUGGUGCGUGCCCUCUGAAGUGGGUUAGAGCCUCCUGUGAGACCCUGGAGAAAAGGUGCCAUCUAGGAGAAGGGUCCCUAACCUGACACUGUCUCCAAGAGCCUGGAUCCUGGACUCCCAGCCUCCAAAGCUCCGAGGAGUGAGACCCUGCUGACUAAAUGACCUCACAGCUGGGGACCAUCUGGAAGAGGCCCACAAGGUUCAUUGAGUCCAGUAGAGGAGACCAGCUUCGAACCCACGAACAAGCCAGUGAGUGAACGAGACAGUCUCAGAGAGUGGAGGGACAAGAAUAGAAGCAGAGGAGACACCAUGGUGGCCUUAAGCAGGUGUUGGCAGUGGUCACAGCAAGGAUGGCAAGAAGUGUUCAGACCUGAAAUAUACUUUGGAGACAGAGGCUAGAGGCCUGGAGGCACAGCUGUACUCAGUGGAGCAAGACUGUUCAUCCUUCCAGGAGGUCACCUGAAGCUCAGCCAGGAUGGCAUGCUCUGCCCUGCAAACUCCGCAGAAGGAGCCCAUCUCUGGCCCCGCUCCUGUGACUAUGAGGAGUCUCCGCUGCCAGGCUUCCACCCUAAAAAGCAGCAUUGAUGACACAGACACCCACCGGGGACCCUGGAACCAGGAGGGCAGAGGCUGCUGAGCCAACUGUGUCACUGGGGCCCUGAAUGUGUGGGGUUGAGCUUGACAGGCCAGGUCCCCACGCACGUAAUGAGAUGGUAGGAGAGCUGAGGAGUGGCGCACCCCCUCCCAGCAGGGAAGACACAGCCUGAACCCCGAGAUGCAGACAGGGAGGGGCCGCCUAGGGGAGGCCACGGCCCAGUGGGUUUCCUGCGAUGGUGCCCUUCUCCUGUCCUUCAUUCAGACUGCACACGUUAUCUUACUGUAAUAAAUACAUCCUGUCUGGCAACACAACCUGGAUUACCUACUGAAGAAGCCAAUGAAAAAUGGCCAGGAUCUUUCUAGGGUUUCCCCUUCUGCAUAGCACAAGAUUCAUCAGCCCCUCUCACGACUGUGUGGCCAAAGGCAAGUCCGACUGCACUGGUGUGAACCCUGCAGGCCAGGUGCCCGUGGGGACACGAGAGAAGCAGUGCCCAGGGGUGUGGGCAGGAGCCACCAAGCACAGUGCUCUGGGGAUGGGCGCACACAGGGAGAAGACAC
rnacentral:lncRNA from 1 species